rnacentral:rRNA from 1 species
GCCCCCGCCCCGGCCCCGGUGCCGGCAACGAAGCCGUCCCUGCCCACCAGGUCCGGGAUCCCGCCGCGGUACGACCUCGACGCCAAGUGGGACGCCUGCCUCGACCUCUCCAUCCGCCGCGUCGCCUACUCCUCCCUCGUCGGCGCCUUCGGAGGCCUCAUCCUCUUCCGUAGCCCAACAACCCGCUGGGCAUCAGUUGCACUUGGAGCUGGUGUGGUGAUAGGGGCUGCGUUCACCAAACUGGUCGGCCCCUAA